UCAGGAUGAACGCUGNNGGCGUGCUUAACACAUGCAAGUCGAACGAUGAUCCGGUGCUUGCACCGGGGAUUAGUGGCGAACGGGUGAGUAACACGUGAGUAACCUGCCCUUGACUCUGGGAUAAGCCUGGGAAACUGGGUCUAAUACCGGAUAUGACUCCUCAUCGCAUGGUGGGGGGUGGAAAGCUUUUGCGGUUUUGGAUGGACUCGCGGCCUAUCAGCUUGUUGGUGAGGUAAUGGCUCACCAAGGCGACGACGGGUAGCCGGCCUGAGAGGGUGACCGGCCACACUGGGACUGAGACACGGCCCAGACUCCUACGGGAGGCAGCAGUGGGGAAUAUUGCACAAUGGGCGGAAGCCUGAUGCAGCGACGCCGCGUGAGGGAUGACGGCCUUCGGGUUGUNAACCUCUUUCAGUAGGAAGNAGCGAAAAGUGACG
rnacentral:rRNA from 1 species